UGGCGACCGGCGCACGGGUGAGUAACGCGUAUGCAACCUGCCCGAUACCGGGGUAUAGCCCAUGGAAACGUGGAUUAACAUCCCAUAGUACUUUUAUCCUGCCUGGGAUGGGAGUUAAAUGUUCAAGGUAUCGGAUGGGCAUGCGUCCUAUUAGUUAGUUGGCGGGGUAACAGCCCACCAAGACGAUGAUAGGUAGGGGUUCUGAGAGGAAGGUCCCCCACAUUGGAACUGAGACACGGUCCAA
rnacentral:rRNA from 1 species